rnacentral:rRNA from 1 species
GUAGUCCACGCCCUAAACGAUGUCUACUUGCUGUUGGGGGUGAAACUUCAGUAGCGAAGCUAACGCGAGAAGUAGACCGCCUGGGGAGUACGGUCGCAAGAUUAAAACUCAAAGGAAUUGACGGGGACCCGCACAAGCGGUGGAUGAUGCGGAUUAAUUCGAUGCAACGCGAAAAACCUUACCUGCUCUUGACAUGCCAAGAAAUCUGUAGAGAUAUGGAAGUGCCUUCGGGAACUUGGACACAGGUGCUGCAUGGCUGUCGUCAGCUCGUGUCGUGAGAUGUUGUCUUAAGUGACGCAACGAGCGCAACCCUUGUCAUUAGUUGCCAUCCUUAAGUUGGGCACUCUAAUGAUACUGCCGGUGCUAAACCGGA